UACGUAGGGUGCGAGCGUUAAUCGGAAUUACUGGGCGUAAAGCGUGCGCAGGCGGUUUUGUAAGCCAGAUGUGAAAUCCCCGGGCUCAACCUGGGAAUGGCAUUUGGGACUGCAAGGCUGGAGUGCGGCAGAGGAGACUGGAAUUCCUGGUGUAGCAGUGAAAUGCGUAGAUAUCAGGAGGAAUACCGAUGGCGAAGGCAGGUCUCUGGGCUGACACUGACGCUCACGCACGAAAGCGUGGGGAGCAAACAGG
rnacentral:rRNA from 1 species